rnacentral:rRNA from 1 species
UACGAAGGGGGCGAGCGUUGUUCGGAUUUAUUGGGCGUAAAGGGCAGGUAGGUGGUCUUAUUUGUCUGAGGUGAAAGCCUUGAGCUUAACUCAAGAAGUGCCUCAGAAACGGUAAGACUAGAGUUCUAGAGAGGGUCGUGGAAUUCCCGGUGUAGCGGUGAAAUGCGUAGAGAUCGGGAGGAACACCAGAGGCGAAGGCGGCGACCUGGAUAGAUACUGACACUAAACUGCGAAAGCGUGGGGAGCGAACAGG